rnacentral:lncRNA from 1 species
AGAAAAUAAGGAAAAUGCUAAUCUAGGUAUCAAGCCUUAGUAAUGCUCGGCUCUAGUUCUCACCAAAGCCUAAUCAAAACUAGAAGCCUAGUGAUGGUUAUCUACAAUGAGUCGAAAGAUAAAAGGGAGAUGGAAUGAGGAGUUAACUAAAUUGACGACAAACAAAAUGAGAAAUAAACUACUAACUAAUGAACUAGAGAAUGAUGAGAACAUGGGAGUGUCGGGUGAUCCACACUAACUCAUAUGCAAACAUUGCUACCAAUUUCACAAAUGCAUAUCCUAUUGUAUCAAGUCCCGUAUCUAAUACCGGUUAAGGCUUCUAGACCAAUUAUCCUUUCGGUGUAUCGAUUAUACCGAUUAAGGCCACAAUCAAUUCUCUAACAUGGGCAUUACACAGGUUAAGGCCGUAACAUUCAAGUUAGAGGCCUAGAGUGUAAGAUAAUAGAGACCCAAGCAAGCUUAGCUACAAUCAAGCUUGUCACAUCCCGACCCUUAAAUUUUUACCUUAUUUACUAGCUUGAUUAUAAUAAGAAUUUUACCGUCUCCGUCAAUGAAGUUAUAGUUUAAUUGGUCCCUAGAGGGGUUUGGGGGACGGUUAUUUGCGGGGAAUUAUUCGUAGGAGGAAAAUGUGACAACGGUAAAAAUAGUAAAUUUUAGCUAGUAAAAGGUAAUUUUUAAUAGGGUAUUUUAUUUUGGGGUGUAAAUUUUAGAGUUGGGUUUUGGUGUAUAAGGUUGGUGGCCCCGUUUGGGGGUGAGAGGCCCAAAGCCAUUCUUCCCUUCUCUUUUUUCUUCUCUUCCUCUUCUCUUUUUCUUCUCUCCUCCCGACCUCUCCCGUGUCCGGUUUUUCUCCAGCUCUUGCCGUCGCCGACCGGCCGAGCCAGGCCGCCGGACCAGUCUCGUUUGGACCCCUGUCCUUCCCUCUCCAGCCCUGAGUUGGUGACAGCCCCUCUUCCGCCGGAAAUUGCAAGUUAUCAUGGCAAGAAGCUGUGGUGGUUCACUCGCCGGAGCUCCCUCCUCCGGCCACCAAAGCCGGCGAUCCUUGGCUCGUUUUGUAGCCCUCCUCCUAUGCAGCAACCCCUCCAAAUGUCUCACUCCCUCUUGAGCUAGGUAAGGAGAAAUUCAAAGUUGAAAUCCUAGGGCUCUUUAGGUGUUUGUGGUCGAUUGCCCUAGCUAGGCUUGGAUUUUGGGUUUGUGCUAGUUAGGAAAGUUGUAGAGCAUGAAGAGUGGAUUAUUCUGUCAAAAUUUCAUAGGAAUUGAAAGUCGUCGGAAUCGGCCUCCGGCGGAGCCGGCGCCGGUUGGGAGAUUUUAAUGUUUUUAAAUUUGGAAUAUCAAGGGGAGUUUAUUGAAGUGAGUUAUGGAAUUUUUGGAUGAGUUUUGGAUAGGUUUAUGAAUUUCCGAAGUGUGGUAUUUUUGGCGGUUAAUUAAUGUAGAAUCCGGCCGUUGGAUUAAAGUUGUUUAAGCUGUGGGAAGGUGUAGUUACGGCUGCUGGUUCUAGGGUUGAAAUGUGGACCACUUCGAAGUUAGGCAAUGUUGAGCGUGAUAAUGGCUCUCGGUUAAUUUUUGCCUAUUUUGUGUAAAUAUUGGAAUUUCGGUUAAUAUUAUAUUUGGAACAGGUCGUGAGGAGGCUCGAGUAGACGAGGCCCCAGAUCGACAUCAGGCUUAGGCCUAAUUAGUGAGUGGACCUUUGUUUUAAUUGAAAAGUAUGCGAUGAAUUAUUUUGUUGAUCAUUUAUUUCUUUUGCUGAGAUUUAUUUAUUUCUUGGAUAUUUGACAAUUUACCUCCUUUGGAGAGUUCCCGAAAAUGAGAUUUUCGGUGGAUAUGUUUAUUGGAUGUUUAUGAGGAUAGUAUGUAUAUAUAAAUGCUAGCUAGCCAUACGUGCUUGAUCCGCUAUAAUGAGGUAAAAUACCAUUAUGGUGUGACGUGAGCGUUAGAUGCAAGCGUAGUAGCCUUGUAUGAAUUUCUAUUUUGCUUAUUCCUUCAUAGAAUUCGUACAACGAGUAUGACGAGUAUAAAUACAUACACAUAUAUAUAUUUUUAUAUAUAAUUUAGCCUGAGAGGCCUUAUUUUUGUUAAGUUUGGAGACUAGCCGGAACUAGUCACGAAAUUGCCAAUCGUUGAGUUGAGAGCUUUUGAGCUGCCGCAUGCAAUAUAUUUUCUAUGAAAUUCAAAUUGGGAAUGCAUAAAUAUUUGUUAAUUUAUUUUUGUCUACUCACUCUAACGUGUUUCAAAUGUUUUCCCCUGGGCCAUUCGUUUUAAAAUGCCCAGUCUGCAGAGUACGGAUUGAAUCUAGUAGAAGACGAGGCAUAGUCACCCGCUUUUCCACCACUUUUCAUCAGUAGGUUACCUGUUUAACCUACCAGUAUUUUCUUGCUUCCUCUAGUUAGCAGCUCUGAUUACCUGAAGGAUAAUGUUAUUAGUUUGGUUGUGUGCUAAGACAUUGUUUAAUAUUUUGGAAUAUCCUAAGGAUGUCGUAUUUUUAUUAGUUGGGUAUUUAUGUUGAGGUUGUGUUGAUUUGGAAGAUGUUUUAUUAUUUUUGUGGUGGUGUUUUUGGGGAGCACGUAGGCUCCAGAAGUUAAGGGUGGAUUGAGAAUUUUAGAAGUGUUUGCAGGUUUUCUUUAGAAAGGGUUGUCCAUUUUCAAGGGAGGUUAUACCGAAUUUUCGGUAAUAUCUUCCUUGGAGGUGGUCCCCGCACAACUUACUCCGGGUUUCAAGCUGAAAUUCGGGGUGGGUUGUAUCAAAGCUAGCUAAUGGUUACCACACUUCAAAUCCUAGAUACACAAGACUAAUAAGUUGUCAAUUUAUCAAUCUAUGCAUCAAAUUGUCCACAACAUUAUCUCAAAGAGUGACAAAGCCUAGAAACAUGUUUUUAAGAACCAAUUCAUUUGGAUUCAAAGCAUACACAAUGGAAAUUGCAUUUAUAUCAAUCAAAGUAUCAACAUUAUACAAAAUGAGUUUAGGGCUUCAAUACCCUAACUCCCAAAAUUAAAUCACUCACAACCCAUAGUCAAAUACAUUAUCAAUAACAUAUAAGAUAAAGGAAUAGACAAUAUGUCACAUCCCGACCCUUAUAUUUUUACCUUAUUUACUAGCGUGAUUAUAAUAAGAAUUUUACCGUCUCGAUUAUUGAGUUAAUAGUUUAAUUGGUCCCUAGAGGGGUUUCGGGGACGAUUAUGUGCGGAGGAUUAUUCGUAUGAGGAAAAUACGACGACGGUAAAAAUGGUAAAUUUUAGCUAGUAAAAGGUAAUUUUUAUUCGGGUAUUAUUUUCGGGGUGUUUUAUUUUUGGAAUUGGGUUGUUAUAUAGGUGAUGGACCGGGUUGGUCAGGCCCAAACCCAGCCCUCACUUUUUCUUUUUCUUCCUCUCUUCUUCCCGGUUUCUUCUCGAGCCUCUCCCCCGCCGGAAACUUCUCGUCGUCCGUACGCCGCCGUCCGGCCACCAUCUGCCGCCGCUCCGAUCCCGUUCGGUUGCCCUCCGACCCAGCUAUCUUCCAGGACCGGUGACAGCCCCCCUACCGCCGUCGUGAGAGAGCGGUGCCGCCCGAAAGGCUAGGCUGCCCCGAACUUCUGGCAAUCGGAACUCCCUCCUCCGGCCACCAAAACCGGCGAUCCUUGGCUCGUUUUGUAGCCCUCCUCCCGUGCAGCAACCCCUCCAAUUAGCUCACUCCCUCUUGAGCUAGGUAAGGAGAAAUGUGGAGUUGAAUUUUCUAGGGCUUUUAGGAUGUUUUCGUUCGAUUAGCCUAGUUAGGUUUUGGAGGUCGCCGGAAUUAGCCUCCAGCCGCCACUGCCGGCGGAGCCGCCGCCGGUUAAGAGAUUUUUAGGGUUUUAAGUGUGGAAUAUUAAGAGGAGUUUAUUGAUGUGAUUUAUGGAAUUUUUGGAUGAGAUUUGGAUAGGUUUGUGAAUUUCCAAAGUUUGGUAUUUUUGGCGGUUAAUUAAUGUAGAAUCCGGCCGUAGGAUUUAAGUCGUAUUUUGGGGAGGUUGUAUUUACGACUGUGGAGUAUGAUAUUUAAGUUCGGAUCGUUCCGAUUUAAGAAUAUCGAAGUUAGGCAAUGAUGAGCGUAUUUAUGGCUCUCGGGUAAUUUUGCCUAUUUUGAUUAAAUAUUGGAUUAUUGGUUGGGAAAUUAAUAUUAUAUUUGGAACAGGACGUGAGGAGGCUCGAGCAGACGAGGCCCCAAAUCGACAUCAGGCUUAGGCCUAAUUUGUGAGUGGACGUUUAUUUUAAAUAAACGCAUGCUAUAGUUCAUGGUUGAACAAUUAAUGUUGCGGAAUAUUUUAAUGUCAUUUUAAUUUGACGAUUUUUAUUUCUCUUGGAGAGUUACCGAAAAUGGGAUUUUCGGUGGAUAUAAAUUUGUAUUUAUGAGAGAGUAUGUAUAUAAAUGCUAGCUAGCCAUACGUGUCUGUCCACCUUAAUGGCGUAGCAUAUAGCCGCAUUAUGGUGUGACGUGAGCGUUGGACGUGAACGUAGUAGCCCUAUUUGAGUGUUUAAUUCAUAUAGGGGGUAUGGACACAUAUUUAUACACCCGUCUGUCCACCUUGAUGAGGUAGUGUAGCACCGCAUUAAGGCGUGACGUGAGCGUUGGACGCGAGCGUAGUAGCCUUAUAUAGACCCAUGAAUUUAUAUAGGGAGUAUGGACGAGUGUAAAUACAUACAUAUAUUAUAGAGUCUGAGAGGCUCGAUAUUUUAUGAGAUAAAAGUUUUAUCGCUUGCGGCAUGCAUUCGAUUUUUCCUUAGAAACUAAUUUGGGGAAACAUAAAUAUUUUAUUUAUUAUUUUAUUUUUGUCCACUCACUCUAACGUUAUUAAAUAUUUUCCCCUGGGCCAUUCGUUUUAAAUUGCCCAGUCUGCAGAGUUCGGGUUGGAUCUAGUAGGAGGCGAGGCUUAGUCACCCGCAUUUCUGCCAGUUUUCAUCAGUAGGUUACCUGUUCAACCUACUCGUGUUUUCUUGCUUCCGCUAGUGUUUAGUAGCUCUGAAUACUUUGAGAUUAUUGUAUUAUGUGUAGAAUUUCUGAAGGAUAAUUAUGUGAUGUUUGGGCGUGUUGUAUUAGGAGUGUAAUUUGGAAUUUUCGAGUUAGGGUUGUCCAUCUGCAAGGGAGAUUUUCUCAAUCUUUUCAGUAAAUUUUCCUUGGAGGUGGUCCCCACAUGACUUACUCCGGAUUUCAGGGUGAAAUUCGGGGUGGGUCGUGUCACAAUAAGGAAAAGAGAGGGGGAGAGCUAGCUUGGUCACUUCAAGUUAUGAGAAGAUGAGCUAGUCGGUGAGCCGUGGCUUGGUUGGUUAAGGUGUUUAACUGACAACUUUGAGGUCAUGAGUUCAAACCUCACGGACAUAUGUAGGGUGUGUGAGUUAUUAAUAAAACGUUUUUUUUAAAAAAAAAAAAAAAAAGUAGAAAAGAAGCCACACUCGGGAGUUGACCCAAGCUCCAGCCUCUCUCUCCUCUCUCCGGCUGCAUCAGUCAACCCGACGCAUCGUCGCCGAUUCUGGCCACCACUUGCCACCACACUGGCCUCAAAAUGACCGUCUCCUUCUCCUCUUCCAAACCCAACCCUCCAUUCCAGCUAGCAUCCUCACAGGGAAGAGAUCAAAGUGGAAGAACACAACUGUGUUCAUCGGAUUUCAACAUAAACCGGCCACAACUACGACUCCGGUUUGAGCUCCGGUCUCUUAUCCACCCAACGACGGUGAGUCCCUUCCUCCUCUCUUCCUUUUGCACAAUCCAGUGUUUCUUUUCUUAAUUUUCUGGGUUUCAAGUUCUUAGCUCCGGCGACCUGCAUUCGACGGUUUCUGACGAGUGCUUCGGGUUUUGGUCGGUCCUCGAUGCUCUGUGUGUUGUCGAGUUAGACCUUGGAGAAGUUGCAGGUCAAUCCGGAUUGAGGCAGAGGUCGAGUGUGUUUGGGCUGAGAGGAACCGAAGUGGUGUGAUGCUAAUUAGGUGAAGGUGGCGACUAAGGCAGCAACUGGGGAUGUUUGGAGGUCCUGCUUGUUGAGUCCGGACCAGGAGAGUUCUUGGGCUAGUGCUUGAGAUCGAUGGAAGGUAAUCUCGAUCUCCUUUGAUGUUAUAUAGCUGCUGUAUUGAUUUUCGGAUUGAUUGGGUUCAUUUUUGGUGUUGCAAGUCGAUAACUUGGUGAUUUGGAGUUUACGGGGAGGCUAUGGCAAAAUUCCAGCAAGUCGCCGGAAUUCGGUGAGUAUUUCUGGCAAGUUGCCGGAAUCCCUACAGCAGUUCUGGCAGAAUCCGUGAAGGUAGCUUGUCGACUUUCCUUUUUCGUUUAAGUUGUAGUUUACGGUUUAGGAAAACCUGCCAUAUUUAGAAUGUCACAUCCCAACCCUUAAAUUUUUACCUUAUUUAUUAGCUUGGUUAUAAUAAGAAUUUUACUGUCUCCGUUAACGAAGUUAUAGUUUAAUUGGUAACUAGAGGGGUUUUGGGGGACGAUUAUUUUCGGAGGAUUAAUCGUAGGAGAAAAAAAAUGUGGCGACGGUAAAAAUAGUAAAAUUAAGCUAGUAAAAGGUAAUUUUUAAUAGGGUAUUUUGUUUUGUGUUAAAUUGAUGGAGUUGGGUUUAAGUGUGGUGUUGGACCGGGUUGGUGUGAGGCCCAUACACCAUAUCCCCCUCUCUUUUUCUUCUCUUCCUCUUCUCUUUUUCUUCUCUUCCUCCUGACCUCUCUCCCGACUUCUCCCGCUGCCGGAUCCUCCAGCCAUCGCCUGCCACCGUCCGGCCAGCCACCGGCCGCCGCUCCAGCCCAGUUCGGAGCCCCGCCACCUCCUCUCCUUUCCCGGCCUAGUGUCCCAGCCGGUAACGCCGCCGAUCGAGAGAUAUUCCAUCGGAGACGUCGACUGCUCCUUCGUCGGAGCUCCCAUUUCCGGCCACCAUAACUCGCGAUUCUUGGCUCGUUGGGAAGCUCUCCUCCUGUGCAUCAAUUCCUCCAAAGAGCUCGCCCUCUAGUGGUCUAGGUAAGGAGAACCGGUGAGUGGAAGCUCUACGGCUUUUAUGAUGUUUUCGUUCGAUUGGCAUAGUUAGGCUUGGAAUUGGGUGUUGUCCUAGUGAAGGAAGUUGUAGAAGGAGUUGAGAGGAAGAUUCUGUUAAAAUUUGGUGGGCAUUAGAGGUCGCCGGAAUCGGCCUCCGGCCGCCGCUGCCCACGGAGCUGGCGACGCCGCCGCCGCUGUGUAGGAGAUUUGUAUAGUUUUAAAUGUAGAAUAUUAAGGGGAGUUUUUUGAUGUAAAGUAUGGAAUUUUUGGAUGAGUUUUGGAUAGGUUUGUGAAUUUCCGAAGUUUGGUAUUUUUGGCGGUUAAUUAAUAUAGAAUCCGGCCGUUAGAUUAAAGUUGUUUAAACUGUGGGAAGGUGUAGUUACGGCUACUGGUUCUCGGGUUGAAAUCUAGACCAUUUCGAAGUUAGGCAAUGUUGAGCGUGAUAAUGGCUCUCGGUUAAUUUUUUUCUAUUUUGUGUAAAUAUUGGAAUUUCGGCUGGGAAAUUAAUAUUAUAUUUGAAACAGGUCGUGAGGAGGCUCGAGCAGACGAGGCCCCAGAUCGACAUCAGGCUUAGGCCUAAUUUGUGAGUGGACUUUUAUUUUAAAUAAUGUGUAUGCGAAAUAAUUUAUGUUGUUAGAGAAUAACCGAAAUUAAGAAUUUCGGUGAGUAUGUAUAUAUAUCCAUAUUUGGAUGAAUAUGAGAAUAAUAUGUAUAUGAAGAAAUGCUAGCUAGCUAUACGUGUUUUUCCACCAUACUGAGGUAAAAUUCCAUUAUGGUGCGACGUGAGCAUUAGACGCAAUCGUUGUAGCCCUAUAUAAAUAUAAUAAUUUAUAUAGGGGAUAUGUGCGUAUAUAUUUACCAUAAUGAGGUAAAAUGCCAUUAUGGUGCGACGUGAGCGUUAGACGCAAGCGUCGUAGCCUUGUGUGAAUUUUCUAUUUGUCUUUAUUGUUUUAAGAAAAUUCAUACAAGGAAUAUGACGAGUGUAAUGCAUACAUAUUUUAUUUUAGCCUGAGAUACUGUUAUUUUUGAAGUGUUUGUGACUAGCGCGGCUAAUCAGGUGUCGGUAAAUUCGGUAAAUUUUUAAAAACUUUUGAGCUGGUUGCAUGUCAUUAAUUGUUUUUCCACUGAAGUUUAAAUUGGGAAAGCAUAAAGAAUUAUUUCUUUUAAAUUUAAUUUAUUUCUGUCCACUCACUCUAACGUUAUUAAAUGUCUUCCCCUGGGUCAUUCGUUUUAAAAUGCCCAGUCUGCAGAAUUCGGGUUGGAUCUAGUAGAAGGCGAGACAUAGUCACCCGUAUUUCCACCACUUUUCAUCCGUAGGUUACCUGUUUAACCUACCUGUGAUUUCUUACUUCUGCUAGUGUCUAGUAGCUCUGAAUACUUGGGUUUAAUGUAUAUUAUUUCGGUUGUGGGCGAAGGCUUGUUGACAUUUUAGAAUAUUUGUCGGAGGAUUUAUGUCAUCUUAUUUGGAUAAUUAUGUUGAUUUGGAAGAUGUUCUAUUAUUUUUUGUUACUGGUGGGGUUUGUAUUUGGGGAGCACAUAGGCUCCAGAAGUUAAGGUUGGAUUGAGAAUUUUAGAAGUGUUUGCAGGUUUUCUUUAGAAAGGGUUGUCCAUUUUCAAGGGAGGUUAUGCCGAAUUUUCGGUAAUAUCUUCCUUGGAGGUGGUCCCCGCAGGAUUUACUCCGGGUUUUAGAGUAAAAUUCGGGGUGGGUCUUGUCAUAAAAAGUUUCUAUUUUUGGAAACUUUCCAUUUAUGGAAACCCUUUUUGGGUGCCCUUAAUGAUUUUUAGUGUGAAGUUGUGUAGCGAGGAAAUGAAUACAGAUUGUAUGGGUGAAGAAACAUUUGUAAUUGGGUUGUGAUUGAGGAUUUCACGGAUUGAGAAAAUUGGUCAUUGAGGGAGGGAUUUAGUGAAAAGGUUUGUUCUUAUUUAAGAACUAACGGAUUUCAAGUGAAGCAAAUAAUUGAAUUUGUGAAGACCCACCCCAAAUUUUACCCUAAAACCUGGAGCAAGUCCUGCGGGGACCACCUUACCGAAAAAUUUACCGAAAAAUUCGACAUAACCUCCCUUGAAAAUGGACAACCCUAUCCUGAAAAAAAAAUUCAGAUAACACUCCUAUACCAACACAUCCAACCUCAACACCUGGAGCCACCCGCUCCCCCACAACACAUCCACCACACACAAAAAAUAAUAUCAUCUUCUAAUCCAACCCAUAAAUAUCCAAUUUAUAUCAUACACCAUCCUUUGGAUAUCUCCCAAAUUAAUAAACAAAGACUUAGCACACAACCGAACUAUUAUACAUAUAAUCUCAAGGUAAUUAGAGCUACUAAACACUAGUGGAAGCAGGAAAAUAUGGUAGUAGGUUAACAUGUAACCUACUGAUGAAAGGUGGAAGAGAUGUGGGUGACUAUGCCUCUCCUCUGACUAGUGCCAACUCGAACUCUGCAGACUGGGCAUUUUAAAACGAAGGGCCCAGGGGAAAACAUUUGAAACCGUUAAAGUGAGUGGACAAAAAUAAAUUAAUAAAUAAAAUAUUUCUGCAUUCCCAUUUUAAUUUCCAAAUAAAUUAUGCUGCAUGCGACAGUUCAAAAACUAUCAAUUACAUGACUAGCCCCGGCUAGUUUCCAAAACUCAAACAAAUGAAGCCUCUCAGGCUAAAGUAAUAUGUAUAAAUAUGUAUGUAUUUACACUCGUCAUACUCCUUGUACGAAUUCUAGGAGGGAAUUAGAAAAAUAGAAGUUCGUACAAGGCUGCUACGCUUGCGUCUAACGCUCACGUCACACCAUAAUAAAAUUUUACCUCAUUAUGGCGGAAAAGCACGAGUGUAUAUAUAUAUGUGCAUAUUCUUUAUAUAAAUUACUAAAUUUAUAUAGGGCUACGACGAUUGUGUCUAACGCUCACGUCACACCAUAAUGGUAUUUACCUCAUUAUGGCGGAAAAACAAGUAUAGCUAGCUAGCAUUUAUAUAAAUACUAUCCUCAUAAUCAUCCAUAUAUGAAUAUAUAUUCACCAAAAUUUUCAAUUUCGGUCAUUCUUCAACAAAAGAAAAUAUUCAUCAAUAAAUCAUUUGCAUGCACAAUAUUUAAAACAAAAGUCCGCUCACAAAUUAGGCCUAAGCCUGAUGUCGAUCCGAGGCCUCUUCUGCUCGAGCCUCCUCACGUCCUUAUCCAAAUAUAAUAUUAAUUUCCCAACCAAAAAUCCAAAACUUACACAAAAUAGGCAUAAUUAAACGUGAGCCUUAAACACACUCAUCCUUGCCCAACUUCGCCAUUCUUAACUCAAUAUGGCCCAAGCUUCACCGAGCAAACCGGUAGCUUUAAAUUAACCUUCUACAGAUUAUACGACUUUAAUCCAACGGCCGGAUUCUACCUUAAAUAACCGCUAAAAUUACCAAACUUUAAAAAUUCCCAAACCUAUCCAAAACUCCUCCAAAAAUUCGACAAAUCACUUCAUUAAACUCCUCUAAUUAUAACACGAAUAAACCCUAAAAAUCCCCCAAACAGCGACGGCGGCGCCUCCUGCUCCGCCGGAAGCGGCUGCCGGAGGCCGACUCCGGUGACCUCCAAUGCCUACCAAAUUUUGACAACAUCUUCCUCUCAACUCCCUCUACAACUUUCCUAGCGCAACACCCAAUUCCAAGCCUAACCAAGUCAAUCGAACAAGAACAUUCUAGAAAACCCUAGAGCUUCAACACCAAAUAUCUCCUUACCUAGCUCAAGAGAGGGUGAGACCUUUGGAGGGUUUGUAGCACGGGAGGAGAGUUUCCUUUUGAGCCAAGUAGCUCUGGCUAUGGUAGCUGGAGUAGGAAGUUCCGGCGAGAAAACCACCACGAUAGCCAGCGGUUCCGGGCGUCGUUUCUCUCACACGGCGGCGCUAGGGGGCUGCCACUGGUCCAGGGAGGUAGCUGGGUUGAAGGCCGACAGAACGGGACCGGUGCGGCGGGCUGCGGUGGCCGGACGGCGGCCGGAAGUCAUACGGGAAGAGAGAAGCUCGGGAGAGAGUGCUCGGGAGGAAGAGAAAAAGGAGAGAAGAAAAAUGAUGUAUGGGCCUCCCCACUAAACCGGUCCAACAACCUUAUACCAACCCAACUCCAUAACUUUACACCCCAAAAUAAUACCCCAAUAAAAAUUAUCUUUUACUAGCCAAAAUUUACCAUUUUUACCGUCGACACAUUUUUCUCCUACGAAUAAUUCUCCGAAAUAAUUGUUCCCCAAAACCUCUCUAAGGACCAAUUAAACUAUAAUCUCAUUGACGGAGACGGUAAAAUUCUUAUUAAUACCAAGCUAGUAAAUAAGGUAAAAAUUUAAGGGUCGAGAUGUGACAGAAUUAUUAAAAUGUUUGUUGGAAUUAAAUUGGAUGGUUAAUAGUUAAUCAGGUAACCUGAAUUAUUAGACGUGAAUUGUUGUCAAGAAAUGAAGCAUCCAUAUCCCAAAGUGGAGCGUGAUUGGUUAAGGGAAGUAUUUGGGAAUAGACAAUGUAAUUUUAUUUAGGGACCAAUCUUUAGUCUUGGACUGGACUAUUGAUUAAGGCUAAAGAUAACUGUUCUCUGGAAGUAGUUGAGAUUUUUAACUUACGGUUUGGGUUAAUUGUUUAAUUAAAGGACUCAAGUAUGUGCCUAUGGACGUAAAGGCCCGCCGUAGAAAGUUGACAGGCAUUUGACUUGGGAAGCCUUUGCUUGGCAAUUAAAUAACUGAAUCACUGUGAGUGGACAUUUCUUUUAAAUUAAAUGCAUGUAGAGAUUUAUUUUAAAGGAAUGAUUUUAUUGGUCAUUAAUUUGUGGAAUUUGUUUUCCUCUCGUGAGUUAUUUUCUGCGAAGUUAUUUUCGGAGGUAAAUGUUCUUAUUUUAUUUAUUAACUUCGCUAUUUUGAGAAUUUCUGAAAAUAGGAUUUUCGGUAUAUAUAUAUAUAUGUAUAUUUAUGAGGAGAGUAUGUAUAUAAAUGCUAGUUAGCCAUAUGUGUCUGUACACCUUAAUGACGUAGUAUAUAACCGCAUUAUGGUGUGACGUGAGCAUUAGACGCGAGCGUAGUAGCCCUAUAUGGGUAUAUAUGGGCACAUAUUUAUACACUUGUCCAUCCACCUUAAUGGCGUAGUGUAGCACCGCAUUAAGGCGUGACAUGAGCGUUAGACGCAAGCGUAGUAGCCUUGUAUGAAUUUCUAUUUUCCUUAUAUUUCCUUCAUAGAAUUCAUACAAGAAGUAUGGACGUGUAUAGAUACAUACAUAUUAUAUAUAUUGAUGGAUUUAUAUUAUUGAGUUUGAGAGGCUCGAUAUUUAAGAGAUGAAAGUUUUAUCGUUUGAGGCAUGCAUUUGAUUUCUUUGGAAAUUUAAUUUGGGAUAGCAUUAAUUAUUUCUGUUAAAUUUAUUUUUAUCCACUCACUCUAACGUUUGCAAAUGUUGUCCCCUGGGCCCUUCGUUUUAAAAAUGCCCACUAUGCAGGUUAGCAUAGUUGAGGUCGAGCGUACAUGGAGAAGAGGUAUAGUCAAUAGUAUAGCUUCCGCUCAUUUUUAUAUUUCUAGUUCUUUUCCUCUCAAAUAAAUUGCUGUCACAUCCCAGUUCUUAAAUUAAAUUACGGUUAUUUACUUUGGUAUUACUUUGGUCUUUUACCGUUUUAUGUAACCGUUUACUAUUUAAGACUCCAAAAGUUGACUUUUUCUUCCGUUUGAAAUUUGGGAAAAUUUUCUUCACAAAAGUCGUAGAGGACGUUAAUACAAAUUCGUAGACAUACUAUAUAUUAAAAUCGGAGUUAGCAUGAAAAAGUUAUCAGAUAAAAGGGGUAAAUUUUGAGUGGUAAAAAUGGGGUGAAUUUUAGUAGGCUUUAUUUGUUGUGGGUAUUAAGUUGGACCGGGUGUGAAGCAGCCCAACACCCACACACUUACUCUCUCUCUCUCUCUCUUCCUUCUCUCUCUCCCGAACUCUCCCCGACCCGCCGGAUUCCUCGGCUCCAACCGCCACCGUCCGGCCACCAAUGACCGACGCACCGGUCCAAAACGGUCAGCCGUCGACCUAGCCUUCUCCAUGGACCGGUGAGAGAUGCCCUAGCGCCGCCGUGAGGGAGAGAGCUCGCCUAGAAGCUCUGCUUGCGUUGUGGAGUCCCGUCGUCGGAACUCGCUACUCCCGCCGCCAUCGCCGGUGAUUUGGGUCUCAUUUGGAAGAGCUUGUUUUGUGUAACAAUCCCCUAGAAGGUAAUUAACCAAUUCGAAAUGUGUAGGAGGAUUUUUGGUCUAGGGUUUGAAUUGGGGAUUUUUUUAUGUUUUGAUUUGAUUACCCUAUUUAGGCUUAGAAUUGGACUAAGUGCUAGUUAUGGAAGUUGUUGUGCAUAUUUAGAGGAUUGUUGUGCUAAAUUUUGGGAAACAUUGGAGGUCGCCGGAGUACGGCUGCCGGCGGAGCCUCCCCUUAGGGGUAGUUUUUCAUGUUUUUGAGAUUGUUUUAAGGAGAGGAGUUUAAUGAUGUGAAGUUUAGAAUUUUUGGAGGAGUUUUGGUUAGGUUUGGGAUUUUUCAAAGAUUGAGAAUUUUAGUGGUUGUUAGAAUGAAAAUCCGGCCAUUGGAUUUCCUUGGUAUUUAUUCUAGAAUAUUAGAAUUGAUGAAUUAAGGUUGUGGUGGAGUUUGGUAUGAAUCCGAUAAGCUUAACCCUAGACAGGGUAGUGGGUUAGGCGGAAGAUUUUCAGGGUGUUUUAUUAAAGCAUUUAUUUUUCCAAAAAUCGGAAUGUGGUUCUAAUUAUGCUUAUGGUGUUAGGAUUCAUGGAGACCUCACUUGUAUGGCUAUAUCUGCUUCUUAUUUAUUGUUGUUGACCUGACUAACGGGGCUAGUCUAUCUUUUUGAUAUUCCUUUUUACAAAGAUCUUUAUGAAUCCUUGUUGUUGUUGUUUUGAUUGCGAGGCUAGUUCGUUUUCUCGGGAUUUUCUUUUUGAAGGCAUUAUCAACAGUUGCAUGCAAUGGAUUUAUUGCUUAUCGGAAAGUGAGAAAGUAUUUAAGUUUUGGUUUCUUAUCCUAUGUCCUUUUAUUUAUUUAUUUUUGUCCACUCACUCUAACGUUUUAAAUUACUUUCCUCUGGGCCUUUUGGUUUCAAAUGCCCAGUUUGCAGGCUAAGUUUAAAUGAGGUCGAGUGUACAUGGAGUCGAGGCAUAGUCAGAGGCUGCUUCUGCUUACUCUUUAUUCAUUGUUUUUCUUUCAUUAUAGAUGCUCUGAUGACCAUUAGAGAUUGUUAUUAGUUGAGUAUGGUUGAAAGUAUUUUGGGAGAUGUUAUGAACUUGGGGAGCAAGAAGGCUCUAGGAGUUGAGGUUGGUUGAUUUAUAAUAGAAGUGUCUAUUUGGAAUUUUUUCAUGGAAGCGUUGUCCAUUUUCAAGGUAAAUUAUGCCAAUUUUUCAGUAAAUUUUCCUUGGAGGUGGACCCUGUAGGAUUUACUUCGGGUUUCAGAGUGAAAUUCUGGGUGGGUCCUGUCAGUUGGUAUCAAAGGUUAGGUUAUCCGAUUCCUAUCACUACCUCAUAUGCUUAUUGGUGAUACUUAGUGUCUAUAGAGUGAUGGUCCGACCGCGGUGGAUCCAUUAGCAUUAUAUGCAUCAGAUGCUAUGUGUUUAUUACGUAUGUGAGGUAGUUCUUGUCUUUUUUAUGGAUAGUAUUGUGUCAUAAAUUUCUAUAUCUUCAAGACUAUGCCUCCGUACGCCAACCUCAAAGAGUAUCUUGGUUAUUUUCCGAGUAAUGGGAAGGUAAGUGAUUUGUGAGAUUUUGAGUUCAGUUAUGAGUUGGGAAGUGACCUGGAUUUGUAGUGUUCUACUAUUUAUUUAUUUAGUUGUUGACUUUUAUUUGAUUGACAAGUUGAGCCUUUUUGCUGAUAUUAAUAAUAGGAAGGGCAUGCUUGUGAACGAGGGAUUGAGCAAUUUCUAGUUAAGGUUGGUAUUGGAAUAAGAGAUAUUAUAAGGGAGUUAAGCAAGUGUUGUUUUGCUUUGAGAUAAAUAGUAAAGUGAUACUGCUUGAGUUAAUUAAUUGUGGAUGUUAUUGGAUGCGUUAAAUGGGGCUAUUAAAGUUUGGUUUAUGCAUUGAAGUUCGAUUUCUGUGAUUGUUAUUGGUCGAUUUAGGUUUGGUAUGUGUGAUGUGGGAUUCGCUCUCCUACUUAUGUUGAGUGUUUUAGAUGGAUUGUAACUAUAAUGGGCUUUGAAAUUGUAAUAGUAAAGCGGAUGCGAGAUGGUUGUGGCUGCUCCGACGUUACAACAACAGAUGGAAAAUUUGAUUCAUGAUGACUGAACUUGGUAGAUCAAGUGGCGAAUGAGAAUGUAGCUAUUUGCUUUGGACGCUUAGUGACAGUGUAGAAGUUUAGUAUCCGCUAGUCCCUGGACCAACCCAUUCUUAUUCUUGAGUAUUUCGGUUACAAGGGGAGAAGUGAAUAAUCGUGUUGAGAAUUUUGAGAGUUCUAGGUAACUCUAACAUCAAGUGACCUUGGUCACUAGAAAAGUUAGAAAUUUAGGUGCGGUGUGGUUGUUCAGAAAGCAGUUCUUUAUUUCAAAAUGCGUGAUUGUUGGGAGCCAAAAGAGUUGAGGAAUAUUUCGGUGUAUACAUAACCGAAGAUGUAGAGAUUGUUUGGAGAAGUGAGGUUGUGUGCCCAUAGUAAUUUUCAAGCGGCAUUGUUUAUGUUAGGUGACACAAGUCUUGAACUUUUGGGUUAUGAUGGCGUGACCAAAGUUUGUUUGCUAAAAUCACUUAGUUCGUGGUGGGAGAUUAACUGUGAUGUUCAAGGUGAGAUUAUGUUUACCCACCAUAUUUCAAACUCGAUAGACAGAAUAAUAAGAGUUUUAGAUGUAACGUGUUUUGGCUAUACCUAAGUUGGCUUUGCUGCAGUUUUAGAUAGCCGAAACACUCCUUUUUUCUAACGAUCUUGUGCUUUUGGAGGGCGGAAACUAUAAUUUUUAAGUUACGAAUCUUGGAGCCGCAAGUAUUAAGUGGUAUCAAGAGAGCCACGAGGCGAUGUUAAAUGAAUUGUUCGAGUCACGAGGUGUAUGAUUUAUGGAGUAGCUUUAGGGGAAACGGUUUCUCGGUUGAUUUAAGUAAGUAUUUUUGUUCAGAGUUUAGGGUAUCGAGGACAAUGCAUGUCCUGAUACGUUUAACGCCUUCCCUCCUGUAAGAGUUUUUCUUAUGGACCGCAUAGUCGUGGGACCACUUACUAUUCCAAGUAUGGUCUGGGAGAUCAUCACCGUUUGGUCAGGUGUCGAGAGGGGGAUAGGCUUAAACUUUUCUAUUAGAUUCUGGCUUUAAGGACGUGGUCGAAAUGGGUCGCUAGUGGAUGUCGGUUAUUGGUAGAACUUAUGAGCUCGAAAUUAUGGAUUUGCUUUCUUCUUGUACUUUAGUUAUUUUCCUCUUGAGUUUGAGCCAAGGUGAGUUUCGAUAUAUUCUUGCUCUUACAGUUUUUUGCGAUUGAUAAACCACAAAUUGUAGUAGUGGCAAUUAAUUUUGACAUCCGAUAGUUAACUUAAGUGUUUUGCGAACUCAGCUUAAUAGUGUUGUUGAACUGAAGGAGCCGCUAAAUGUUGUUUUCAGAUGUCGCUGCUUAUGACUAUCAAUAAAGUCAACUAAGAUAUAAUCUAGUUAUUGCUGAUACUCUAGUCAGAAACUUUGGGGCUUAGCAGCUGUAGCAACCAGCGUUUGCAAGAAUUUUGACCAUAACAGUUUUGUGGAUUAUGUUCUGUCCUCAGUGUCAGGACCCACCCCGAAUUUCACCCUGAAACCUGAAGUAAAUCCUACGGGGACCACCUCCAAGGAAAAUUUACCGAAAAAUUGGCAUAACCUCCCUUGAAAAUGGACAACCCUUCCUAACUAAAACAGCUGCAAACACUUCUAACAAUUCCAACUCCAACCUUAUAAACUCCUAGAGCCUUCGUGCUCCCCAUAAAUCACAACAUCUCCCAAUUUAUAUUUACUCAUCUAGCAAAAAAUCUCAUAACCAUCAAUCACAGGUUCAGAGCAACUCUAUUAGAGGAGACAGGAACUAGAAAUAGAAAUAUGAGCGGAAGCUAUACUAUUGAUUAUGCCUCGUCUCCAUGUAUGCCCGACCUCAAUUAUGCUAACCUGCAUACUGGGCAUUUUUAAAACGAAGGGUCCAGGGGAAAACAUUUGAAACCGUUUAAGUGAGUGGACAAAAAUGAAUUCAAUAAAAAUAUUUAUGCAUGCCCAAUUUAA